UACGUAGGGUCCGAGCGUUGUCCGGAUUCAUUGGGCGUAAAGAGCUCGUAGGCGGUUUCGUAAGUCGGAUGUGAAAACUCAGGGCUCAACCCGGAGACGCCAUCCGAUACUGCGAUGACUGGAGUCUGGUAGGGGAUCACGGAAUACCUGGUGUAGCGGUGAAAUGCGCAGAUAUCAGGUGGAACACCGAUGGCGAAGGCAGUGAUCUGGGCCAGUACUGACGCUGAGGAGCGAAAGCGUGGGGAGCAAACAGG
rnacentral:rRNA from 1 species